AGAUGGCGGCCGGUUCAGGGGCUGCAGGAGCCCGAAGCUCCAACGCUGGUCUGGAAGGGUCUUUGGACCGACGGUUUCAAGGAGUUUCCAACACUAUGGAGUCAAUACAAGGACUUUCAAACUGGUGCAUUGAAAACAAAAAGCACCACAGCCUGAUCGUUCGCCACUGGAUGAAGUGGCUCAAGAAAUCGGACAACCCUCAUCGUUUGAAUCUCUUCUACGUUGCAAACGAUGUGAUACAAAACUGCAAAAGAAAGAACGCCAUUGUCUUUCGUUCGGCCUUUGCAGAAGUCCUUCCCAACGCUGCUCAGUUCAUCAGAGAUGCGAAGGUCCGCAAGUCAGUGGAACGGAUUUUUACAAUUUGGGAAGAAAGGAGCGUGUAUCCUGGGGAGGUCAUUGCCCAGUUCAAAGCCGGCAUAAACAAAAAGGAAAAGGAGCGAGAGAAGCAGAAGGAAAAAGAAAAAGAAAGGAAGAAGGAAAAGGAGAAACAGAAGGAGAAAGAGAAAGAGAAGGAAAAAGAAAAGGAGAAAGAAAAGGAGACGCCCCUGGCAACUGCCACAGCCACCACCAAAGCUGCCCUCAAGUCCAAGAUUUUAGCGGAGUUCACCCCCCAGUCCCUCAUUGAUCAGCUGUCAAAAUAUAAGCAGGCUGCUGCAGAAGAGGAGUUCAGGGAGAACCAGCUGGCAGCUCUCAGAGUGGACGUCCUCAGCACAGAGGCUCUCAAGAGACUGAAAGACAAGGCUGGAGGGAACAAGUUCGCGAAGGACUUUGAGGAAGGCAGUCUGAAGCUGCAGGAGUUUGUCGGCUUCAUGGAGACAGAGCUGAAAACAGGGCCUCCUCUGCUGGAAGCUUUGGGAAAUGCAGACAUUUUUUAUGAGAUGCAGUACAAGGAGGUUAAGAUUGUGGCAAAUGCGUACAAUGCCUUUGCCAACCGUGUGGCUAGUCUUAAAAGGAAACUGGAUUCCCUCAAGUCGACUCUACCUGGACCCGAGGACUCUCCCAUCCCAUCUCCCUCAGAAGACGCUCCCUCUCCCACUGGCUCUGACUCCCCCUUCAUGGGACUGGGGGCUAGCAGAGCCCAGGUGGAUCCAGAGCUGGAUGGCAAGGCCAUGGAUGAAGGAGAGAUUGCCAAUGAAAGCAGAGACAUGGAAGACAUGGAUCUGUCUGAUGAAGAGGCUGACGCUGCCACAGCAGGGGCAGGUGACAAGAAGGACAAGCCGUCCACUUCUGUUGCAAAGUCAGAUGCACCAUCAAAGCUUCCCACCGCUCCUACUAAGGCACCGAAGACCAUCACCACUGCUGCUGCCACUGCGACCCCGUUGACUCCUACCUCUGUUGCCGCUCAAAGCGCCGCAGUAACCACAAUGGGAGUCAAUCUGGAGAAGGUAGACCUGGGGAAGAUCAGCUCCAUUCUGAGCUCCCUCACAUCUGCAAUGAAGAAUACAGCAGCUAGCCCAUCACCUCGGCCGUCUCCAGGAACACCCACCACUCCUUCUGGCCAACCAACAGCCUCCAAAGCGAACUCUUCGGGCCCUCACCUGGCGAGCAUCCUGUCACGUGUUGACAUCACACCUGAAGGCAUACUCAAUGCUCUGACCAAAACAAACACACCAGGUUUGUCCUCUCUCCUGCAAAGUGUGUCAAACGCCUCUUCUGCUCCUUCCACCCGAACCUCCCCAGAAUCAUCAGCAGUUAAAACCAUGCUAUCCCCAACCACCCCUAAAGGAAAACCCAGCCUAGGGAACAGCCUCAAAAGAGACACACCUGGGAGAAGCAGAGAUUGGGAGAAAGAGAGGCAGCUGUCCCCUCCUCCUCCUCCCCCUCCUCGUACUUCAGCUCCCUCUGUCUCUCCCCCCAGCCUUGAAUCAAAAAUCAACAGUUUCCUGCAGGGUAACCCAGGCUUCAGUCUCGCACUGGGGGAUGGCAGUCCCGAUGGGGUGGACGGGACCCCAGUGAGAGACGAGGCCGCUGGCACCCCCACCCAGGACGAGAUAAUGGACACACCUGGAAGUGUGCCAGAAUCUUUAGGGUCAUCAGGAGGUCAUACCCUCUCACCCACAGCCUACCGCAGCGACCCCUGGGAUGCUGUGAUCACCCCGUCAGGAAACAGCAGCAAUGGAGACUUCCUGAGCUCUUCCGCCUCCUCUUCUCGGUAUGGAGCUGGGAAAAAGAGCGGCGCAAAAUCAAAGGACGAUGAAGCGAUGAAUGUGAGGAAGCAGGUCUCCUCUUCUCCCAGUAAUGACAUGAAGGGUAAGAAAGAUGGACACCAUCUGAGGAUGAUGGGAAACAGAGGAAACGGUGAGAGGAAACACUCUGCUGGGUCUCGUAGGGCCAGCAGCACGUCGGAGGAAGGUGGGAAACGAGAGGGUCACGAGUCUCCGGGUGGGAAGGGGAAGGAGGGCCAGUACCAUCGUAUUGAGACACUAGUGUCCCCCUGCACUGAAGGGGCUCCCAUCCAAACUCUCGGCUACUCGAAUCGCCCCCUCGCUGGGGAGCGUAUCAAGACAGUGGAGAGCAUCCGCUUGAUUGGCCGGGGCUCCCGGCGAGGGGGAGGGGCCGGCACUCGACCAGGGACAGCGAUGUGGUACGAAGAGGAAGAGUACAUGGACGCUCAGUCUCCCUCACCCCACGACGGCCCCCCCCCUCUUAACAUUGGCAACGAAGAGAUGACCCCCUCCAUGCCUCUUCCCCCUCCUCACCUCCUCCAACAUCUCCACCCUCCUCCGUCCCACCCUCACGCACACCCUCCUCCCCAUUCUCCGUUCCAAAUGCCCUACCACCCCGAGAACAUCCAGUCUCCUCCCCCCUCCCUCCUGCACCAGCAUCCUCCGCCGUCCCAUUUUUUCGGCCCUCCUCCACCUAUCCCUAGACUCCCUCCGCCUCCCAUACCCCAGCGCCCUUCCCCUCCACCUUCCCACCAUGCUGUGCCCUCUGCCGUCAUGGUAGGGGGAGUGUUGGUCCCUAUUGACCGUCCCCUUUCUCUCCCCCUCCCGCCAAGACCUGAAGGUGUAGAGCGGGGCGGAGUAGGACCCAGAGGAAACAAAAUGCCCCCCCCACCCCUCAUGUCAUCGCUGCUAGGUGAGCCCCCUAAGCUGCCCCGUCCUGGUACAGUUAAAGAGCCUUUUGUCCCCCGCCAUGCUCCCCUUCUCCACCGCCCAGGUGUUCCUCUUCCCUUACUGGGUCGAGUGAAGGAGCCUCUCAAUCUACCUCUUCCGCCCCCCUCUCCCACUUGCUCUACACCCUCUCCCUCCACACCCAAUCCACCCGCACUCGACUCCCACCCUCCUCGCCACCCUGCUCACUCCUCUGGCCCUCCUCUCCAGAAGCCCCCCAACAGUCCUCCAGCUCAUUCCCGCAACCAGACCUCCAACCCUGUUCCCCUGCUUAACUUACCCCCGAUUCUCCCAGUUUCCCUCCAACAGAGACCUCUGCAGCGAGGCCGAACCCCCUCUCAGCAGUUUAACCAGGAUCGACCCCGGGGGGGAUAUCGAGGGGGCAAGCGGCAAGGUCCUCCAUUCACAGGUGGUCCUUUCCAUUCGCAGAAGAGACCCUUCCUACCCCCACGAUACUGAAGUGGUCAUCUAUCACAUGCUGAAUGAGAAGUGCAAGCGCCCUGCCUUGAAGUGCAGAGUGUGUGUUAGCCCUGCUGGUGUCCUCGGCUUGGUCUGAGCGACUCCAGGUCUUCGAGUCCCUCUGGGAAAAGCAAGGCAAUAAGAGCAGAGCUGAAGCUGCAGAAACUCGCCUCAGUAUCCAACUGGCUGACGGCCGGACAGUAAAGGGAACAGCGGGUCUCACCACACCUCUCUUUAUUGCUCAGAGUGUCCGGGUGAAGGGCGUGCUGGUCAGUAAGGUGAAUGGGGAGCUGUGGGAGCUU